rnacentral:sRNA from 12 species
GCCCCUCGACCGAAAUGUUGCCUGAAUGGUAUGCGUGCCCGUAAGGGAUAGGGAGAGGGGAGUUA